AUCGUCUACCCGGGCGACAAGGCCCCGGGUUUCUGGGACCUGGUCAGUGGUUCGAUUCCGCGGGUGAUC
rnacentral:tRNA from 1 species